UACCUGCAGCUCAAGUAGUGACCACUAUUAUUGGGCCUAAAACGUUCGUAGCCGGUUUGGUAAAUGCCUGGGUAAAUCGUGUAGCUUAACUAUACGAAUUCCGGGUAGACUGCCAAACUUGAAACCGGGAGAAGCUAGAGGUACUCCUGGGGUAGAGGUGAAAUUCUGUAAUCCUAGGGGGACCACCAGUGGCGAAGGCGUCUAGCUAGAACGGGUUUGACGGUGAGGAACGAAGCCCUGGGGCGCAAACCGGGAUUAGAUACCCGGGUAGUCCAGGGUGUAAACGCUGCUUGCUUGAUGUUAGUUGGGCUCCGAGCCCAAUUAGUGUCGGAGAGAAGUUGUUAAGCAAGCUGCCUGGGAAGUACGAUCGCAAGAUUGAAACUUAAAGGAAUUGGCGGGGGAGCACAGCAACGGGUGGAGCGUGCGGUUU
rnacentral:rRNA from 1 species